rnacentral:lncRNA from 1 species
AAAAAAAUAUAUUAACGACCGAAUUUUCGGUCGUUAAAAUUAAAAAAAUAAUUAAAAUAAAAAAAAAUAAUUUUUACGACCGAAAAUUCGGUCGUUAAAAAAAAUUAAAUAUUAAAAUAUUAAAAUAAUAAUUAACGACCGAAUUUUCGGUCGUUAAAAAAUAAAAAAAAUAAAAAAAUAAAAUCGGUCGUUAAACGGUCGUAAAUCGGUCGUUAAGGCCGCAAAAUUAACGACCGAAAAUUUCGGUCGUUAAUUUCGGUCGUUAAAGGCGCAGUUUCUUGUAGUG